rnacentral:lncRNA from 1 species
GCGGGACCCACACAGUCUGCGUAUCUGGUUCUUCCUGGAAAGGUAGAGGGUGACCCAGCUCCACGGGGCUGCUCCGUGUGUUCUGAUCCAUUGAAAUGUCCGAGGGCUCUGGGCUCUUGGUAAUGGGAAGACCCACGAGGACUAUGAGCUCCGGAAAAGGGGACCCAAGAAGGCCUGGGGCUCUGGGGGUCUUAGGCCGAACUGAAGCUAAAACCAACACACAGCAGGUUAACAGAGGAAACCCCCAUUUUUACUAGGUACUAAAAAGGCCCCGGAGUGGCUUCUGAAAAGCAGGUGACAGCCUGGGGCUGGCAGCCUCCAGCUCCCUUCGCGUCCUCAGUUUGAAGUAAUCAGCAUACCAAAGCAGCCAAUUUGGGGUAACAAGUCCAGUCCAGAA